AUGUUAACUGUAGCAGUUUGUGCUUUUACGCUAUAAUGUCCUUACUAGGAUUCCAUAGUUUUCUCAUAUCCGGCAUCAGUAUCUCCAGAGUAUCAGCUAUUUGUAAGAAGACAUUUAUCUUCCAACUUACAGAUGCAUCUGUAUGUGGACAUAGUAUGACGGUCCAGGUUUACAUCUGUGAUCGACAUUCUGUCCUGCAGAGUGACUACUUACAAGUGCUUUUAUAAUUUGGGACCUGAAAUCAUCCAGUCUUCGAGUGAACCAGCUAUUCUCUGCUCGCCUUGGGAAAUGCUCUCUUGUGGCAUGGACACCCUUCAUCUG